GACGAACGCUGGCGGCGUGCUUAACACAUGCAAGUCGAACGAAGUGGCGAACGGGUGAGUAACGCGUAAUCAACCUGCCCUUCAGAGGGGGACAACAGUUGGAAACGACUGCUAAUACCGCAUACUGAAGGAGGGGAUUGCGUCUGAUGAGCUCGUUGGCGGGGUAACGGCCCACCAAGGCGAUGAUCAGUAGCCGGUGUGAGAGGAGGAACGGCCACAUUGGGACUGGGACACGGCCCAGACUCCUACGGGAGGCAGCAGGGGGGAAUCUUCCGAAAUGGACGAAAGUCUGACGGAGCAACGCCGCGUGAGUGAUGACGGCCUUCGGGUUGUAAAGCUCUGUUAAUCGGGACGCGGUACCGGAAUAGAAAGCCACGGCUAACUACGUGCCAGCAGCCGCGGUAAUC
rnacentral:rRNA from 1 species